UCUCUUUUCUAUCCUAGGUCACCAACCAUACCCAAACAUACCGCAAGUGUGUGGAAUGAGAAAGAAUGUACCGAAGAUAACCGUGGUGUGUGGAAAUAGAAUUUCCUCCCUCUAGCGCAUGAAAUCUCCAAUUUACCGUGCUGUGCAAGUGGAAUUACAGUUGAACCAGAGAUUGUUCUUCACCGUCUCAAGAAAGCAACGGUGGUAUUUGUUCUCUUGUUCACUUGUUGGCAAUGGCGGUGGCCCCAUGUACUGCAAAACGGAAGCGGUGCAGCAGUAGCGUAGAUCAUUAUAUAUGCAUUAUUGUGUCAUCUUAAAUUUACCCCUCGGCAGCAAAUCAAAUAACCUAGCCACCUUCAAGAUAACACUGAACGUGCCAUCCGAGUUGACUGAAUUGUCUAAUAUGCCAGUAGUUCAUGAAAAGCUUAACGGGCAUCUAAAAACAGUAAAUUUCGAAGAAUCACCAAUUAUGUCAAUUUAUUUGGUGGAUGUUGUGAUUGGUUUAUUUGAUCAUAUAGAAGAAACAACGACCGAUGCUUGCAAUUGUGGUGACACAUGAAGUUGCACAUCAAUGGUUUGGCAACCUGGUAACAAUGGAAUGGUGGACUCAUUUAUGGCUUAAUGAAGGUUUUGCAACAUGGGUAAGUUAUUUAGUUACUGACACCUUAUUUCUUGAGUGGGAAAUCUGGACUAAAUUUCUUGAAGACACUGCUGGGGUUUACAUUUGGGUGCACUGGAAACCUCACACCCAAUUGAGGUAAAAACAGGUUUGAAGGUGUAUGCAUUACGUGUUUGUGAUUUACAAUGAGUCAAUGGCAUCCUUUAUAUGGUUAUAAUUACAAAAUUUAUUUUGAGAAAUAGCUUUUCCAUCAACAAUUUUGAUGCCUGUUAUACUGACUUCAAAGCAACAUUACCAAGCUGAUCCAUAAUGAUGCCACCACCACUUCUGAGUGCAUGCGCAUAUGCGUGUGAUUGUGAAUAAGCAUGAUGCAGAGCCCACACGUGCUCACUUGUGCCAAUUUGAGUGAUAGAAACAAGCUGUAGGUCCACCUUAUUUGACAACUUCACAAACAAUAUGAUACCCUAAUAUUGGAGCUAUUUACUUCAACAGGUAUUGCUGUUUGAAAGUGCACCAUGAAAUCCAGUUUUGUCCAUUUGACGUUGGCAAGCAUAUAUUUGGAGGUUGAGAUACAUCAUGCUCGUUCAAUUGAUGAAGUUUCUGAUGAUAAAACCUAUACAAAGGGGUGUGCUAUUAUUCCAAUGUUAGGACUAUCUUGCUGAUGACAUUUUUCAGGUAAGAAUGUUCCAUUUAUAAAGAUAUUGUUUAGUAGUCAAUCAUAUAAAUUACUUAUUCAUACUAUUUAAUCUGUUUAUGUAUAAUAGUCAAAUGCCAUUUGCAAUUUAUCAUGAACCUUUAAUUGCCUAUUAAACUUAAAA